rnacentral:snRNA from 1 species
UCCUAUAUUCAUCAUAAGGAC